ACCUGGCUGGCUCACUUGGUAGAGCACAUGACUCUUGAUCUUGGGGUUGAGAGUUUGAGCCCCAUGUUAGGCA
rnacentral:tRNA from 1 species